AGGAGUGGGUCUUGUUGCAUACCGUUUGGCGCUACCCCCAAGCCUUGGAAAUGUGCACAACGUCUUUCAUGUGUCGCAGGUGCGGAAAUACGUGUUCGACCCAAAGCACGUGAUUCACUAAAAAGAAGUCGCUUUGAACCCAGACUUGAGCUACGAAGAGAGACCCCAAAUGAUUUUGGGACCGAAAGAUCCAGAAUGUGAGAAUUAAACAUGUUGCUUGUGUGAAAGUACUUUGGGAAAAUCAUGUGCAUGAAGAAGCCAUGUGGGAGAAUGAGGACAGGAUGAUGGAACUGUACCCAAAACUCUUUACUUGAGGGUAACAAAUUUCGGGACGAAAUUUCUGUUAAGGUUGGUAGGAUGUAACGCCCCACUUUUUGAACUCUAAUUUUCGAACCCUAAAGUACUUGCAUUUAAUGCUUUUAAUGUUGCGAAGUCAGUGGAUUAAUUGUCGAGUGGAAUUAUUGUUGGAUACUUUUCGUGACCAAAUUUUGAGUUGGAAUUUUUGACUAGGUCAGCUUUGUUGAAUAUGUGACAUGGUUGUUUUUGAAUAAUUGAUGUGGGGUGAAACUAAUUGUUUUUGAAUAAAUGAAAAUUUGUUAUUAGAGCGAGAAAUUGUGAAGUACAUCACAAUGCGAAUGUAAAUAAUUACUUUCCGUGAGGAAUGUUUAUUGGACUCGAUUCCGUAUUGGAUCCGAUAAAUUGAAUAAAUAAUAUAAAAAUUUAGUCUAUGAUAAUUAAAUUGUGGGCGGCAUAAUUUAAUUAAAAUACAAUGAAUUAUACAAAUCAAUUUAAAUCUUCUUCCUGUUGACUUGGUCACCAAUUCGAUAAUUCAAUUUAAUUAAAGAUUCUUAGAGAUUUUCCUCCUCCGUGAUGAAGUAUUCCUCCCCCGUGAUAUGCAAUAAAAUAGUAAACAAAUUCAAUUUAAUUCAAAAAAAGGGAAGAAUUCGAAAACCUCCCUCAACCCACAUUAAAAAUCGUUUCCCCUUUCAGGCGUCUUCCUCUCCUCCCAUCAAAUCAUUUUCCAAAAUUAAACCACCAAUCAGCCUUUAAUUCCAAUUAAUUGAGAAUCAAUUACCACAAAUUCUCUUAUAAAUCAUAGUCUUUCUACCCUCGCCGCUUCCACAAUUCCUUCCCAAAUCAAGUUCCACUUCUGCAAGAAUUCACAAGAACAAGGCUGCGUUUCUUCCUAUUCCAGUCGGAACAGAUUCAAGAAACCGAGAGCUAAAGCGAGGGGGUCCCUGUGUCGUUCAGUUGCAAAUCUGCAAAUUGAAGAACUUAUCUGCAAGGUUUCGGGGUUGUGCGGGGCUGUUUGGAUUGGUUUCGGGACGUUUCGGGGUAAAUCGGGCCAACGGAGCGGCGGAGGCUGACCGACGGACGCUGCUGAUGGCGGCGACAGCAGCGUCUUCCCGGUGAACAGCAGCACCGUCCUUUUUAGGUGAGCGUGGCAGCAGCGGCGCGCGGUAUGGGAUCUGCGGGGGCUGUCGGCGGAGGCGUACAUGAUGCAGGGGCUGGAGCGAGCGAACUUGAAGACGUUGGCGAGUGUAGUGACCGCCGCCACGCUGCAGCUCUGCGUCCGCGAUCGGUGCUGGUGUACCAGGGCACUCCGAUUGCAUCCCCGAUCCGCUGACGACGGCUAAAUUGGAGAAGCCGACGGGAAAUCUGGAGUAUUAAUGCCGAUUUUGUUGAGAGAGAGAGAAGUAGAGAGAUGGGGGAAGAAGAGAUAGGCGUGGAGAAGGUGGGAGUAUAACUGGGCAAUUUGUUCUUUUAAAAAAGGAUUUGGGCCUGUGUUUGUCUUUUUAGAAAUUGGGCCUAUUAAAUUAAGGUGGAUGAUUUGUUUAGUGUGGGCUCUAUUUAUUUUUUGUUUGGGGCUUCUUAAUUAAAUUUGAGAGAUAAGGUGGGGAAAUUUGGGUUUUGUAAAUAAAUCUUUGGUUCGAUAAUUAAAUUAGUUGUGGGAAAAUUAUUACGAUAAGUUAA